ensembl:lncRNA
GUAAUAUUGUGAUAUGGUGGUAUUAUACAUUUAGUAUUGUAGAUUUGUAGAGGUGUAAUAUUGUGGUGUGGUGGUACUAUACAUUUAGUAUUGUAGAUAUGUUGUGGUGUAAUAGUGUGGUAUUAUACAUUUAGUAUUGUAGUGGUGUACUAUUGUGGUAUGGUGGUAUUAUACAUUUAGUAUUGUUGAUGUGUAGUGGUGUAAUAUUGUGGUGUGGUGGUACUAUACAUUUAGUAUUGUAGAUAUGUUGUGGUGUAAUAGUGUGGUAUUAUACAUUUAGUAUUGUAGUGGUGUACUAUUGUGGUAUGGUGGUAUUAUACAUUUAGUAUUGUUGAUGUGUAGUGGUGUAAUAUUGUGGUGUGUUGGUAUAAUACAUUUAAUAUUGUAGUGGUGUAAUAUUGUGGUAUGGGGGUAUUAUACAUUUAGUAUUGUAGAUAUGUAGUGGUGUAAUAUUGUGGUGUGGUGGUAUUAUACAUUUAGUAUUGUAGAUAUGUAGUGGUGUAAUAUUGUGGUAUGGUGGUAUUAUACAUUUAGUAUUGUAGAUAUGUGGUGGUGUAAUAUUGUGGUGUGCUGGUAUUAUACAUUUAGUAUUGUAGUGGUGUAAUAUUGUGCUAGAGUGGUAUUAUACAUUUAGUAUUGUAGAUAUGUAGUGGUGUAAUAUUGUGGUAUGGUGGUGGUAACGUGGGAUGGAGAAAAGGUCCGAAUACGGUCCCAAUUGCUCACUCAGGAAUCCCAUUUUGCAUCUGAUGAACUCCGGAAGUCCCCGUCGUCUACGUCCCCAAGAGGAUCCAAGCUUACCCGAUUCCCUCCAAAAGCCUGAGGGAGACUGCCAAUUCACCUCUUCCCGAGCCGAUGCAGCUCGGCAGGACUAGGCUGUCUCCAGCCUAACGUGUACGCAGACUUGAGACCUAGAGUUGUUUGUAUUGCGGUACUGCCAGUCAUUAUGUGUCUAUAUGUCCCUUCAAGAGACCUAGCUCAUUUGUUGGAGUGAGUACUCUGGUAGGCCUUGCUCACCCCCCUCUCUGUGCCAUCCUGCGGUGGGGAAACCAGUCCAAAUCUCUCCAGGUACUCAUCGACUCAGGGGCGAUGUGAGUCUCAUGGAAGUUAUCCUGGCAUCCGAGCUGGGCAUCCCCACUCAACCCCUCUCCAUUCCCAUGGUUGUUAGAGCACUGGAUGGGUGCUCUAUAGGUCGGGUCACCCACCAGACCACCCCCGUCAACCUACGAGUGUCGGGGAACCACAGCGAGACAAUCCAAUUCCUGCUGGUUGAGUCUUCGCAGGUUCCUGUGGUAUUGGGAUUCUCUUGGCUCCAGCGCUACAAUCCCUCCAUUGACUGGGCUACUGGUGCCAUCGUAGGCUAGAGCCCGUCCUGCCACACUCAUUGCCUGAAGUCAGCUCUGCCUGCCCCAGGACAUCUUCCUGGGGGCUUGGAAAUUUCCCCGGACCUUUCCGCCAGCUCCGGAGAGUAGCAGGAACUCCGGGAGGGUUUCAGUAAGACCCGGACCACUUUGUUUCCGCAGCACCAACCAGUAUCCAAGAAGGUCAAGCCUGAGGCGCUGGCAAGCCGCUAUAGUGCCUCGGCUACAACCCCGGAAACCGAGACCUUUCCCCCCGGCUCCAAGAUCAUUAGCCCCUCUGCUGUUCGUCCUCUGUUGUCCGUACCCUCCAUAAUUUUCCUACCUUUUCUGUGUCUAGAGUUAAAACCAUGUCUGACUCCCCCUUGUCUCCUGUUCGCAGGAUCUAUUUGGAAGAGGGGAAGGAAGGUAUCGUGAUCAAAUCUAUUUAACAAGCUAUCGUGGAUUUUGAAAGAUGGUCGAUUGAUUGGGAUUUUAAUUUGUCAGUGACGAUGGCUUUUUCAGAGAAGAAACUACUGAUAAUACCAUUUUAUUCUGUAUGGACAGCCCAUGGGGAGGGUUUAUAAGUACAAAUAUUUGGUCUAUGGUUCAAUGAGCAAUAUACAGUACAUUCGGAAAGUAUUCCGACCCCUUGACUUUUUACAGAUUUUGUUACGUUACAGCCUCAUUAUGAAAUGGAUUAAAUCGUUUUCCCCCAUCAAUCUACGCACAAUACCGAAUAAAACUGGUUUUCAGAAAUGUUUGCAUCUUUAUAAAAUGUUUUAAAUAUCACGUUUACAUAAGUUUUCAGACCCUUUACUCAGUACCUUGUUGAAGAACCUUUGGCAGCAAUUACAGCCUCAGGUCUUCUUGGGUAUGAUGCUACAAGCUUGGCACACCUGUAUUUGGGAAGUUUCUCCCAUUCUUCUCUGCAAAUCCUCUCAAGCUCUGUCAGGUUGGAUGGGAAGCGUUGCUGCACAGCUAUUUUCAGGUCUCUCCAGAGAUGUUCGACCGGGUUCAAGUCUGGGCUCUGGCUGGGCCACUCAAGGACGUUCAGAGACUUGUCCUGAAGCCACUCCUACGUUGUCUUGGCUGUGUGCUUAGGGUCGUUGUCCUGUUGGAAGGUGAACCUUGGCCCGAGUCUGAGGUCCUAGGUGCUCUGGGCAGGUUUUCAUCAAGGACCCCCCCUGACAAUGCUCCGUUCAUCUUUCCCUCGUUCCUGACUAGUCUCUGCAGCUGAAAAACAUCCCCACAGCAUGAUUCUGCCACCACCAUGCUUGACCGUGGGGAUUGUGCCAGGUUUCCUCCAGAUGUGACGCUUGGCAUUCAGGCCAAAAAGUUCAAACUUGGUUUCGUCAGACAAAAGAAUCUUGAGACAUUUAGGUGCCAACUCUAGAAAGAGUCUUGGUGGUUCCAAACUUUUUCCAUUUAAGAAUGAUGGAGGACACUGUGUUCUUGGGGACCUUCAAUUCUGCAGAAAUGUUUUGGUACCCUUCCCCAGAAGUUUGAGUCAGUCGACACAAUCCUGUUUCGGAGGUCUACGGACAAUUCCUUCAACCUCAUGGAUUGGUUUUUCUCUGACAUGCACAGUCACCUGUGGGACCUUGUAUAGACAGGUAUGGUCCUUUCCAAAUCAUGUCCAAUCAAUUGAAUUUACAUCAGGUGGACUCCAUUUUUUGUGUAUAUAUAUAUAUAUAUAUAUAUAU